GAGCGCCUGCCUUGUUCGUGAACCCUCCACGGUCCCCUUGAGCCUAAUUUUUAACCGGGGGUGUGAAAACGUGGCCGGUGAGCACGCCCGCCACCGAGCGGGAAGCCUAAAGUCACGCGGAAUGCCCCACUUGAGCGAAACGCUCAAGGUAGUCGGAGCACUAGCGGCAGCGGCGGACGCUUC
rnacentral:other from 1 species